CACGGGGGUUGCUAGCGUUGUCUGGAAUUACUAGGCGUAAAGGGCAGGCAGGCGGAUCCAUAAGUUUAUCGUUUAAGGCGUCGGCUUAACCGGCGUAGGGCGGUAGAUACUGUGGAUCUGGAAUACGGUUGGGGAAGACAGAAUUCCUGGUGUAGCGGUGGAAUGCGCAGAGAUCAGGAGGAAUACCGAAGGCGAAGGCAGUCUUCCAAGCCGUUAUUGACGCUCAACUGCGAAGGUGUGGGUAUCAAACAGGAUUAGAUACCCGGGUAGUUCCUGAGCGGG
rnacentral:rRNA from 1 species